UACGUAGGGACCAAGCGUUGUUCGGAUUUACUGGGCGUAAAGGGCGCGUAGGCGGCCUAGCAAGUCACUUGUGAAAUCUCCGGGCUUAACUCGGAACUGCCAAGUGAGACUGCUGGGCUAGAGUGCAGAAGGGGCAAUCGGAAUUCUUGGUGUAGCGGUGAAAUGCGUAGAUAUCAAGAGGAACACCUGAGGUGAAGACGGGUUGCUGGGCUGACACUGACGCUGAGGCGCGAAAGCCAGGGGAGCAAACGGG
rnacentral:rRNA from 1 species